AAUUCAAAAGCUUGCCUAUAUAUUAAUGAACCCUUAAUGAGCUGUUGAAAAUGCCUGAAUUACGGUCAGAUUAUUAAACUCAAACAGCCCCGUAAUCAUACCAUUUGAGUGGGCUUUAGGUACUUUUCACAUCUGCAGCUUAGUAUUGUGAAGGGUAUGCGUUUAUUCGGAGAAAGCUUUGUAAUAAUUUUGACCCGUAAUUUAUUUAUUGCCCUCCGAAUGCAGUCGUCUAUGCAGAUGCUCUCUCCCAUUAUCUGUGGGGCAGGUGCACAGCAUGUUGAAAGACAGCUAAUUAGGAUUUGCUGAAAGAUAUGCAAAAACUGUGGGCUUAUAACAAAGCCAAGUUCAUUGUUAAACAAUGUUUUACUGUGUUUGUAUGAUUUGUCUAAAUCUUAGGGAUACUGAAAUGAAUGUUGUGGUUAUAAGUAGAUUGCAAAUAGGGCUGUGGUGGUUUUUUUAACUUUAUAAUGCUGUUAUAACCAAGGAACCUAGAUGUAAAACUUCACAAAUCUCUGUAAAUGUUCUAGUAUGCGUUUCGGAUUAAAAACAAGAAUGAGCAAUUUUUAAAUUACCGUUUUUCCAACUUUAAAUCUGAAGAUAUCAAGAUAUUUUGGUAACUACACAGUCAAAUUCAUUCUGGCCCUUGCAGAUUUAGGUUCAUUAAAAUGUUUAUAGGUGCCCAGAGGAGUAGGUGUUAUAAUUGGAAGCCAUGUGUGACUUUGGCAGGUUAGUAAGCUAAGUAAUAGUGGGUGAAUAGAUAGAUGGGACGAGGAAUAAAAUAGCAAUCUUGAAUGUAAGGUAAUAUGAAUAGAAAUAUUCAAAUUAACAAUAAUUUUGGAAACUAGAUAUUAACUAUUUAAAGAUCCGUAAUCAUGACUUUGCUUAGUAGAGAAAGAAAUUUGAUUCACUUUUCCAACUACAGGCAUGAAAAGGACUUCAGUAUUGAUAAAUAGCCUUCUCAAUGUUGCCUAAUUAUACAGUGCUUUAGUACUUUUCAUCCAAAGGAGUAUGAACUUUUUGUUAGGAAAUGAUUUUUCUGAUUAGAUGUGAUGCACAUAAUUUAUAAAGUAAAUGCAGAAGGAUUGCAUUCAAACAUUUUUCCUGUAUUUGAGGCAAACACUGAAGUGUUGAUUUAGUUAUGAUUUUAGAAGAGAUAUUAUUCAUUACAAGGGGAAAAUAUUAUACCAGCUAAAAAUACAUUCUUAUAAUUAUUUUUAUUUGUGUCCACUACUACUGACUUUAAGGAUUGCUUCCUGUUGGUAUAGUGGUUUUGGGAAUGCAUAUUAGGAAUGUAUAAAAGUGUCAUGUCUUUUGCAUUUCUUCCUGAUGAAUUUCCUUCUUCUGUCUCCCUAAUAGUCUGCUUCCUUGUGUAUUAAGUCACUGAACAUGUUGUUUGCCACGCUUGUGCAGGGAAGUGUAAUAAUUUUGACUGUGGAUGUUGAUCUGCUAUUAAAGAACCUCACCAAAUAUCCAUAGGGAAAAGAUCAAUAUGUUUAAGUACAAGGUGGAAAACUAGAAACCUGGAGGAAUCUUGAGGGCAGAUAAAAAAAAUCACCUUUUCUGGAGAAGCACCAGUAUCCGUAUAAAUAGAAAAAAGAAAGAAUGAACACAUGAAAGUGUGAGCAAACAUUUAGUUUAAGAAGGAGAAACUUAGAAGCUGAGUCCAAAUGUAAGACAAGACGUUGCUCAGUGAGUCCUCACUGCAUGCCAGAUGCACAAAAAACUUGGUAUGUGGAACUACAAGUGUGUCAAGGCCAUGAGAUUUUAACAUCUAACAAAGUGAAUUGGAUGGAAAGAAAAUCAAAGAUGUUAAAUUAAAAAUACCAGUGUAACCAGUAUUUGCCAGAUCUGGAAGAAAUAGCAAAUACACGUUUUUCUAUUUUUGAUUAGCAGCAAUGUUGAUACUGAUUUUAUCUUAUUUAGAGAGUUAUCUAACUUUCUGGUUCCCUAAAUGAAUUUAUUGUCUUAGUAUAUUACAGUUUUCAGCCUUAUUUAUUUACCUCUGAACAGGCACCAGAUAUAAUUUUAAAUUAUUGUGAGUUAGUUUUAUUACCCAGUUGAAAUUAUUCUGAAGUAUAUUUUUAAAUGAAAGUGACAGCUUUAAAGUGUUUUGAGGGAGGAAAUUAAAGUUGUGUGUUUGAGUUAAGACAACCAAGAGCUCUGUCAUGCUGUGGGUGUAAUUCAGGACAUCUAGGAAUGAAAUCUGUUCUUAAAAGAAUUGAUGGUAGUUUUAGGUUAGCAUAUAAAAUCACGGAGCUGGUGCUCAGCUGAGUACUUGGCAGCUUAUAGAUGUUACUGUCAUGUAAGUUACACUAGACACAGAGUGUGCACCACUGUGGAUAAACAACAACAGGCACAGAGGAAAAAGGCAGCAUCCAAAUGCCGACAUGCAAGAUGCCAGCUCCCCUCCUCCCCCUUCCCCAAGAUGCCUUGUAACUAAGUGUGGGGAACCUGCUUUUAAACAGAUUUACAGAGGUUAAUUGGGCUGGGAUAUUUUAGAUUAUGUUACACAUUAAUGAAAAUGCUGAUUUUGAGCUGUCAUGACUCCAGUGCUUUUUAUACCAUGAUAAUUAUUUUAAAACUUUGUCUUCUGUGUUGUUGAAAACAUCUUGGCAGAAAGCCUGUGUGACCUGAUUAAACCUAUGAAUUGUCAGCUGUGAUCUAUAGUUCUCAGAUGAGGUUGCUGACUGGGCAUCACUUAGGAAGUUCUUGAUUUAAAAGCAAAAUUACAUGGAGACUACUGUGCCCAGCACUGGAUUGCCAUUUCAGUGGUACAUUUUUAAUACUAUAUUUAGGGUCCUGAUUGCAUAGAUUGCUUAACAAAUUCAUUCACUAGUAUAUAUAUAUAUUUUUUUUUCAAUAAUAUAUACUUUUAAAGCAUAGCUAAUUACUUCAUAGCAUAUGAAUUUCUCUCCUCCCCUUGAAAUUAUACAAUGGAGACUCCCGUCUAAUUCUGUUUAUUUUCUAAUUUUUGGAUAUAGUUUGUGAAUGAAUUAUUCCAUGGGAUUUUUAGAUUCUGUUCUUCCAAUCAUACAGGGGAAAAAAAAAAAAACAGAAUAACUACCUUUAGACGUGUUUGUUUGACAUCCUUGGAAUUAUUUUUGUCCUCUCAAAAUCCCAAAGUUUUUACCCCCUUCCCAUUUUAUGCUUAAAGCAUCUAAAUUUGGGAAGAUUGACAUUAGAAUAUUCUGAGCCGCAGUUACCUUUUUCCAGCAAUCCAAUCUAGGAUAAAUUGAGAGGGUGUAAUAUUAGGAAAUCUGGGAUGCAUGUAAAUAUUCUCUCAAAGAAUUUUCAUACUCACGCUUAUUGGUAAAUGAGAACAAAGAAAUUCUCAGCAUGAAUUGUAGUGCACUAAUGUUGUUUGAUCAUUUUCUCAAAUAAACAAAAUACUCACACUA